CCAGUAGUGAUGUAUGGAAGUGAGAGCUGGACCAUAAAGAAGGCUGAUCGCCGAAGAAUUGAUGCUUUUGAAUUAUGGUGCUGGAGGAGACUCUUGAGAGUCCCAUGGACUGCAAGAAGAUCAAACCUAUCCAUUCUGAAGGAAAUCAGCCCUGAGUGCUCACUGGAAGGACAGAUCCUGAAGCUGAGGCUCCAAUACUUUGGCCACCUCAUGAGAAGAGAAGACUCCCUGGAAAAGACCCUGAUGCUGGGAAAGAUGGAGGGCACAAGGAGAAGGGGACGACAGAGGACGAGAUGGUUGGACAGUGUUCUUGAAGCUACAAACAUGAGUCUGACCAAACUGCGGGAGGCAGUGGAAGACAGGAGUGCCUGGCGUGCUCUGGUCCAUGGGGUCACGAAGAGUCAGACACGACUAAACAACAACAACGC
rnacentral:lncRNA from 1 species